rnacentral:rRNA from 1 species
AAACAUGACUGAGUGAAUUAGUUAUAAAGUCUAGCCUGCCCACUGAUUUAUUUAAAGGGCCGCGGUAAUUUGACCGUGCGAAGGUAGCAUAGUCAGAAGUCUUUUAAUUGGAGGCUUGAAUGAAUGGUUGGACGAGGGAUAAACUGUCUCCUUAGCGGCGUUUGAAUUUAACUUUUGAGUGAAAAGGCUCAAAUUGUUUAGGGGGACGAUAAGACCCUAUAAAACUUAAUAUAAUUUAGGCUUAACUUGCGAUGUGGGUGAAAAGUAGUUUUGUCUGCUUUAUAUUACGUUGCCGAGAUGAAGAUAUAAUGAGUAACUGUCUAAUUAAUUUUAUACGAUUGACUAGAAUUUGAUCCUUGGUUGGGGAUUAGGAGAAUAAGUUACUUUAGGGAUAACAGCGUGAAAUUCAAAGAGACUUCUUAUCGACAACAGUAGUUGCGAGGUCGAUGUUGAAUUAAAAUUUCAGCUAGGUGAUGCCGAAAAGCUGGUGG